CCAGGAUGUGUGAGAGGGGUGGUCUUCACUUUGCCGGUGGCUGGGCUCCCGACGACAAGCAUACCGGCGCUGGAAUCCCGACUGCUGGCAUACCGACAGCUUUUCUCCCUCUUGCGGGGUCCACGACCCCCUGGAGGGUGAAUAGAUAGCGUGGCGCGCACGCCACUGUGCCCGCAGUGUGUCUCAUUUGCGCUCAUCCAGCUGUCGGUAUGCCGGCGGUUGGGAUUCCCGCGCCGGUAUGCUACACCCGUGUGAGAGAGCUGGCACUGACUGUGAGGGUGUGUCCUGAGGUAAUCGCUGAGAAGAGGGUCCUGGGCUGCUGAGGUGCCACUGGCAGUGGUGGGAGGAGCAAUGACAAAAGCCCUAACAUACACUGACUGAGUAAGUGCUGUCUUGUGCUGCAUCAGUCCAGUGGUGGUGUCUUGUGCUGCAUCAGUCCAGUCACAGUGGUGGUGUCCUGUGUUGCCAUAAGUCCAGUGCUGCUGUAUAUGUCCAGUCCAGUGGUGCUGUGUUGUGCUGCAUCAGUCCAGUGGUGUUGUCCUGUGCUGCCGUUGAAAGAUCAUUGCAGAUCUAAACCAGCCAGUCACUGCCCUCUGAUCUCCUGGAUACUCCAACAGGCAGCAUGACGAUGGUGGACGGCAACUGUGUGGCAGUCAUAGCUUACCCACUCCACUCCCGUGGACUUAGUCUAUUUUAAAACAAGCAGCACCAAGAAUUUGGGGACCCAACAGAGAACACUGGAUUCCAGGAUCCUGCAUUAUGGAAAUGUUCUGUAUGGACUGCAGAUGAAUGUAUAAAUGGG